rnacentral:rRNA from 1 species
AUACCAGACUCCUACGGGAGGCAGCAGUGGGGGAUAUUGCACAAUGGGGGCAACCCUGAUGCAGCGACGCCGCGUGAGCGAUGGAGUACUUCGGUAUGUAAAUCUCUGUCAGCAGGGAAGAGAAUGACGGUACCUGACCAAGAAGCCCCGGCUAAAUACGUGCCAGCAGCCGCGGUAAUACGUAGGGGGCAAGCGUUAUCCGGAUUUACUGGGUGUAAAGGGGGCGCAGACGGCAGCGCAAGCCAGGAGUGAAAGCCCGGGGCCCCACCCCGGGACUGCUCUUGGAACUGCGCGGCUGGAGUGCAGGAGGGGCAGGCGGAAUUCCUGGUGUAGCGGUGAAAUGCGUAGAUAUCAGGAGGAACACCGGUGGCGAAGGCGGCCUGCUGGACUGCGACUGACGUUGAGGCCCGAAAGCGUGGGGAGCAAACAGGAUUAGAUACCCGAGUA